AUACGGAGGGUGCGAGCGUUACUCGGAGUCACUGGGCGUAAAGCGUCCGUAGGCGGUCGGGUAAGUCGGGUGUGAAAGCCCCGGGCUCAACCUGGGAAGUGCUCCCGAUACUGCUCGACUCGAGUGCGGGAGAGGAUGGCGGAAUUCCCGGUGUAGCGGUGAAAUGCGUAGAGAUCGGGAGGAACACCAGUGGCGAAGGCGGCCAUCUGGCCCGCAACUGACGCUGAGGGACGAAAGCGUGGGGAGCAAACAGGAUUAGAAACCCUAGUAGUCC
rnacentral:rRNA from 1 species